CCUACGGGUGGCAGCAGUGGGGAAUAUUGGACAAUGGGGGCAACCCUGAUCCAGCCAUGCCGCGUGUGUGAAGAAGGCCCUCGGGUUGUAAAGCACUUUCAGUGAGGAAGAACGCCUGGUGGUUAAUACCCAUCAGGAAAGACAUCACUCACAGAAGAAGCACCGGCUAACUCCGUGCCAGCAGCCCCGGUAAUACGGAGGGUGCGAGCGUUAAUCGGAAUUACUGGGCGUAAAGCGCGCGUAGGUGGCUUGAUAAGCCGGUUGUGAAAGCCCCGGGCUCAACCUGGGAACGGCAUCCGGAACUGUCAAGCUAGAGUGCAGGAGAGGAAGGUAGAAUUCCCGGUGUAGCGGUGAAAUGCGUAGAGAUCGGGAGGAAUACCAGUGGCGAAGGCGGCCUUCUGGACUGACACUGACACUGAGGUGCGAAAGCGUGGGUAGCAAACAGGAUUAGAUACCCUUGUAGUC
rnacentral:rRNA from 1 species